UAUGUCACUCGCACUCGGGUAUGCUUGUCUGACAGAGAGGUAGAUAUCCUGGUUUCUUACUCAUUUGGGAAUUAAGAUGGAUGACAUGUUGAAUCGGCAUAUAAUUGUAAAAUAUGCCUGAAUCUUUUGAUUUUGGGGGAUACAUUGUUGUUAUUCGUGAAGCUUUAUGAUAAAUAUUGUAUGAUAUUUUUCGUUAUGAUUGUUUAGAUUUAUAGUAGUUCUGCAAUACGACAUGAAUGAUUCAAUAGCUGAAUUUCAAAAUGAAGUGUCUCACCACACGCAUGUCAAGCUAAUAGAAGUAUACAAAUAUAGCUCGCAAUCUAUCAUUAUUACAUAUCUGUAUGUGUUUUUUGCUGGUUUUGAAUACUGAUAACAGCAUCUUUCGAAUAACUGUAUUGCUCUGUUAUCUUUGUUUCGCAGUUCUCUAUUCCCACAUUACCUUUUGUAUGGCAUAGCGUCUAUUGAUUAUUUUGUUCUAGCUUUGAUGGCCCUACAACGAUUGCGGAAGCGGUUAUUUUGUUUUUCCUGUUUUAACUAGUCCUAUUAGAUAUCAUGGUUUGUUGGUUCGGAUUGUCACGCUCAGUUGGAGUAUAUUUAUACUUGUUCUAACUCUUGAAUUCUAUCCCGUACAGAUUAUGCAUGCGUCUGAUGGUGACGUAAGAGAAAUGAAAAUGAUGGCCACUUCACCAAUUAUCGUUGUCAGGUUUCAAACUCAGCAAAUAUAUUGUGUACGUGACCGAAAUGGCACCACACCUGAAGGCAGCAAGGUAAGUCAAACUCGUGAUUGGACAAGGCUGAGUAAUUAAGGAAAAGUCAAUUUUUUUUUUGUGUUGAAUGCAAAAAAAGAAAGCUAAAUUAGUUAGUCGGUGAAUGCUGGUUUCUCAGUUGCAUGUGCCAUCUGUUGGACAAUGGCUUCUGCUGUGCAUUAGCUUCAACCUUCAUGAAAGGGAAAUGGCUUAAAGUUCAAUCUUUGCACCUAAAGUAGCUACUUAUGGAGCAGUGUUUUUCCUUCUUUCUUGAGUUCUGGCGAAUGGUUUUGAUCCCAAAGUCCAAGAUGUACGAAGUGCGUUAUCAAAUGGUAAAGGAGUAGAGGGAGAGCACUUGCUUCACUAUUAGGACUUGUGUCUAAGAAUGUAUGAAGUAAAUGGCGGCAUCUAGUUUUCCCGCACUUAUGUUAGGUUUCGCAUAAAAAUAAAAAGAUUAUGGUGGUUUUAAUUUUUCCGAAGUCUACAUCCUCCACUUUCGAACAUCUAGGGAAACUUGAUCUUUAUUGAUUGUCAAUGUUCAUUCUGUGAAGAUCAAAUCCUUUA